UUGUGUUCUACCACAUUAAGGGAAGAAAACCUAUUUCAAAUGAAUCGGAACAAUCCUGUAAUCCGUAAUAAGCUGGAAAGGAUUUUUCCAUAUGGUUUCUUUGAUGUGAUUGAACACCUUCCAAUUCACCUUGUACACGAGGCGCGACUUGGAGGCCCAGAUCAAUGCAGGUGGAUGUAUCCAUUCGAGAGGACUAUCGGCAAGUGUAAACGAUUUGUUAAAAAGAGGAAUAGGAUUGAAGGAUCCAUAUGCGAAGCCUAUCUUGCAAAGGAAACUGCCCAUUUUUGUUCUUACUACUUUGACAGUCAUGUUCCAUGUGCUAGAAAUAGGCCCAAUCGGCACAAUGUGAUGAUUGAGAUUGAUCCAUUAUAUCCACCAAUGUCCGUAUUCAAUCAACCAGGCCGAGGUUCUAAAGAUCGAACAAAAAGGGGCCUAAGUAGUAUGGAGUACAAAUCAGCUUCAAAUCAUGUGUUGCUAAAUUGUCCGGAAGUUCAACCCUUUCUUAAUGACUUCGUGAGUCAAUUUGGUCAUGGUGCUGUAUAUUCUACAUUUGAGGCAUAGUUUAAAGAGUGUGUCAAUAAUUCAAACAACUGUGUUUUUCAAUUUUUGAAAGACAUAUCUUGGGGACCUGCACCUACGGUUACGACUAUGUCUAAGUAUUAUAUGAAUGGUUACAAAUUUCACACUGAGGAAUGCUCCAAGUAUAAAAAAAGCAAUAACAGUGGGGUGUGUGUCAAAGGUGGUGAAGGCAACCAGGAUGGGGAAAAUGAUUUUUAUGGUGUGAUCAAAGAAUCGUCAUAUUCAGAUGGCCGGUAGUGGUCGAGGUAGGUCUAGGAAGGAUAAAAGGCCUAUUGAUCAUGAUGAUGGUGCUACACCCACGAUUCCUUCCACUCCACACUUGCAUCCAUUCCACCACAUCCAUCUACUCAUCAUACUACCCACCAUUCGCCCGCCCAACAAUAUUAUCACUAUUCUCCGCCACAGGGCUAUACCCCGCUUCUUCUUCAUGAUCCUACCAGUACUAACAUGGGUGCAUUGAGUCACCAGUCACAGAGCCAUAUGGUACGCCCAUCAUCUGCUCCAUUUUCUUCAUCUCCAACUGGAUCGCAUCCAUCUAGAUUUCAGCCGGCCGGAUCACAAUAGUGGUCUGGAUCGCAAUAGGGGUCUAGAUCGAUGCAGGGGUGUAGAUCGUAGCCAUCUUCAUCAGGGACCCCGUCUCCCUCUCCACGGAGUUCGUCUCCUAGCAUUUCUAGACUUCGUCUUCGGGAUAGUAGCACUGAGCCAGAUGCCCCCCUUCUGCGCACACUUCAGAUUCAUCGGAGAAUGAUGAUCCAGAUGAUGUGCGUUAUGAUCGUUAUCAUAGGAUCAUCAUCAGGCCUAAGGGAAAUGGGUUCAUUCCUAAUCAUCAGGUUACAAAGAUAAUCACUGAUAUUCUUGGCGGGUUGUAUAAUGCACCUUAUCCGACUUGGAGUGACUUUACAGAGGAUCUUGUGCAGCAAAUGUUCAACCAAUUUAAGACUAAGUGUACCUGGGAGGAUCGGUAUAAACGUGAAAUUUGUAAAAAUUGGGAGUACAAAUGACGUAAGAGACUCUCUGAUUCCUUCAGCUCCGCUCGAAAGGUUAAAAAGAAGCCUUCAUGGGUUCUACCGGAUGUAUGGGUGGAUCUGCAAAGGUAUUGUGACACCGAGAAAUUUGAGAAGCAGAGUAAACUGGGAAAGAAGGCCCGAGCAUCUGAGAAGGGUGGCUCCUUGCACUGUCUGGGUUUAAGGAGCAUGUGGGAUACGAGGAGACAACUAGAAAUAUAAUAUGGGAGGAAGAUGAGUCAUGAUGAGUUCUUCAUGGAGACUCACAUCCGGAAGAAGAAGGCACCGACAGAUCCAACUAGAUGGUUCGAGGACCGGGCAGAGACUACACAUGGUCGCUACAAGAUUAAUUUGGUGGAGUACACUCAGAGCUUGCCACCGAAUGAACAAGGCGCGCGACCGCCCAUUUUAGACGAAGAAGCGCAGAGAAUAUGUUUGGAUGUUGUCGAUGGUCCUAAAAAGAGGAUAGCAUACGACCUUCCAGAUAAAUCAUUUCGGCGCUACAGGGCUGGAUUGCAAGGUAUAAGGACUUCCGCCCAAGGCGAGGCGAUUGAUAGGUCGACUAUAUCGUCUAUGGAACAGAAGAUCGCAAAGCUGACAGCAGAGCUUGAAGAGACAAAGGCUAGAGAAAAAAAGAGAGAUGAACAAUUUGGUACCCUUAAAGUUCAGCUAGAAAGGAGGGACGAAUAAUUUAAUCUCCUUCAAGGUCAGCUGGCCAAUCUUCUUGCUAGUGGUGCUUUCCCCAUUCCUUGGUCUCGUGAUCCUUCCCCAUGUGUCGAUGAUGGAGGUUCUAGGAGUGAAGAUAGAGAUGACGCUAAAUAAAAAACUCAUUGAAUGGUGUGUAUUGCUAAACAAAGUAU